ensembl:lncRNA
CUUUUGCAGCUGAUUGACCAUGAAAAAUCAAGAAACGAGUCUGUUUUCAGGAUUUUGCUCAGUAGAAGAUGAAACAGGCACGUUGUUGCUUCACACUUGGUCACGCCGGGUCGCUUCAUUUCCGUGACGCCGUCCACCUCCCCUCGCCGUCACCAACAUUCUCCUGAUCUUCACUUUCAAUUUCCUGCAGCUCCCAGAGACAAUGCAGAGACAUCAAAGCCUGACGGAGGGCCUCCGUCGCUCACGUCAGCACAAAGAAAGAAAAAAAAGACGUUUUCACUGAGCAGCAUUUGGACAAGUCAUCAUCUUUCAGUUCACUGCGACAGUUUUAGAAAGACGUUCAGACGGCAGCUUCUGGUGGAAGAAUGGAAAUCUUAUGCAGGAGGUUUCAUCUGCUUCUGCAACUAAAUGUGUUCAGGAAGCAGGUGGGAUGGUGGCAGGUCAGAAGCGGGAAAAAGUGGGUUUGCUCUGGCGGGAAAUGGUUAUUUACGAAGCCGAAAAUGGAGUGGGCCUUUCUGACAUUUCCACAGGCCUGCAGGCAGAAAUAACCUUCAGCGGGAAUUGAAAGGAAAAACGGGAAGAGGCUGCAUGGGAGAAGUGAAGACGACGGAGUCUGGGAGAACGAAGAUGGACAGAAAGCAUUUGGAGGUCGUGAGAGGAGGAAACAUUGACUGACUGGCUGAAAAUCACGAAGACAAAUGGAAUAAUUUAAAGUAAUCAUGGACAAGGUUAACAAAAUCCAGCUAAUCUGCAAGAAUAAAGUUCAAUAAAUGACAGAUUUCAGCGUUUUA